rnacentral:lncRNA from 1 species
GGCCACCUCUCUCCCCCUGAUUCCUCUGUCUCUCUCGCACCACAGCGUUGUCGCCGCCAACUCCGAUCCCAGGAAGCUCCAGCGGACUCCAACCCACUGCUCACGGUUCUGCCCCACUCCAUCUAUGUUCUCCUCUGUUCCUUCGCCUGAGGCCACCGCGCCCCUGCACGCGUGGCACGCAACAACCCUAGCCGCCACGCGUCGCCGGCGUGGCUCCGGCAGCUCCGGUUUAUCGACCCACUACCCCUGCGGCCCUGCCUCACCUCACGCGCGGCAGCACGCUCGAGCUUGACGUUGGUAUUCCGCCUCUUCUACCUCAACUCCGGUGUUGACGUUUCUGGUUCUGGUGUUUACACGCUCGAGCUUGACGUUGGUAUUCCGCCUCUUCUACCUCAACUCCGGUGUUGACGUUUCUGGUUCUGGUGUUUAUUUGAUUAGAUGUGAUUCACCAUGUGUUGAUCUGUACUAAUUCUGGAUGAGUACUCUGUUAUGCGUUAUGGUUAGAGUUUCCUCCUCCUAUUUAGAUGGAUCGAUGGAUAAUUAAGUAUUUUUUCAAGUGAAAUUAAUCAUUACAUACUAGCAUGUAGCAUGACCUGUUCAAAGAUCAGCGCAGUUUUUUCUUAUAAAAAGAGAUCAACUUAGUUCCAAUUGGAGUGAGAUAGUCGAUCAGCGAUAUAUCAUAUGUGACCAUGUAUGUCACUGAAGAACAUUACUACAAAAAUCAACAUGUCAGUGCAAUUAUGGGUCCAUGAUACUGGCAUGAUUAUUUCAAAUGGAGAAUCCCCAUCUCAAUAGGCUGAAUCGUUGUUUACUUGGUGUCACAUGUACAAUAUACUAAAUAAAUAAGUCCCACUCGCAUCGGUCUGUCCAAUUAUUUGUCUUUAUUCUAUAACCCUUUGCUCCAUCUACACUCACAGGUUCUGACAUUGUCUUUUACUAAGUGUGUGCUUCUGCUGUUUCUUAACAGAUCGAUGUACAACACUUAUGCAUUACAAUCAGGAGAAAUCCAUGCAGAAGAAGCCUGAAGAAUUAUUCAAGUUAUUUGUUUAUAGCAUGGUGAGGAUCCUUUCGCUAGUUCAUGUUACAGUAAGGAAAACAUGAAUUUGUAUCUUAUUCUUUUUUUUGGUUGAUGUAAUAUUUGUUUUCCCCUGGCAAAAAGUUAUAUUAGUUUCAGUUUCUUAUUCAGUUAAAAUGUGCACACUACAAUCUCGAAGUUUAUGCAAAAGCUCAGAUGGAAAUCAUUCUUACACUCAUGUUAUCCAAUAUAAAUUGUUAAAUAAUUGAAAAAAUUUGAAGGUGCGAUACAAGAACAUCAUACCUUGGUAUUCUCGUCACAUGUAUAUGACUCAUAUUGUUGAAAUCUCACCUCUAAAUCGAGUUUAGUGCUCUUUUUUGGAAAUAUAGGUACUUCUGAAUUCCUGCAAUCUCUGUACUAAUUUUGUAUUUCGUGGGGAGCCACAGAUAUUUCCAAAUACUAGAAUGAUGCAUGAUUGGUCAGCACACAAACUCUUGGCCAGGUUCCUCUCACAUCUUAUCUUGUUUGUAAUAUAUUCUUCUUAAACUGUUAACACGAUGAGCAUGUACUUGUUUCAUCCAAGAACGUAAACAUGAAAAGUAUUCCUCUUGUGCACUCUCCUUCCCUGACAUACAGGGCACACUACGGUGGUUGGAUGAUACAACCAUAAACAGACAGCUAAGCGAUCAGAUGCGGCGACUGUGCGAGUGUGUCAGGUAUGUCGAAUUCACUGAUCCCAAACUAUUGGAUCUGACUAGGAUCUCCUCUUCUCUGUAAUACUUAGGACCUUCUCCUCUACCUACUCGGGCCAACAGUUUCAGCAUCCAGCAACCAUGGUGACAAAGAUGAACGUACUGGAACUGCUCUAAGUUUCAACAUUCUCGGUAAACAAGUGAACUAAGAAAGCCAAUCCUACUUAGUAAAUGUUGGCAUAUACUAAUACGCUGGCACUACUUAGUUUGCAUGAAUGUUGUGGUCUUCUAAAUUGCUAGAAUAAUUUCAAGUAGUUUAGUAGGAGUCUCUGCUUGUUUAACUAGCCAAGUUUGAGUCUAAUUUGAUUAGGGUGAUUAGUUAGUUUUCCAACAUGUCUGGUUUGCAUGCCAUAAGCAUUUGUCUUCUUGGGUGGGUCGUAGUCCAUAUAUGAUUCAAUGAGUUUGCAUAGCUAGCUGCCUACAUGCUGUACUAUCAUAUCUUGUAGUUAGCAUGCUUUACUAGUCUAGGAAAGGGCGCUGGAGUCUGAGUCGUUUUAGAUGCUAUAAGUACGAGCAGCUUUAGAUUGUUUCGGCCAUGUAGCUGGUCAUAUCGUGUAACCAGGUCGUGCAAGUUUUUUUUCCAUAUUAGAACAAGGUCAUGUAAGAGUUUUGAUAUAAAAGAAGAAAGAGUACGUUAAAGUUUUUCAUGCACAUGUGUACAGCUAUUUUGAUGUUUGAUUCUGUGGGCAAAACCGAACAUAGAUUACUAAUACAUAUGCCAAAUCACCAGGUUACAGAGGCUCGAUUGUUCCAAGUCGAUGUUGUUGGCGCUAAAACAUAAAAGACUACUAGUGCCAAGCUGGAUUUACUAGGAGGUAUUUUCUGAUGGUAGUUCCAUAUUGCGUGAAUGAUUCUUCACCAGUUUGAAUGGAAAUUUUGGAGUAUUAAUAGCAUACUUGACUAUAUUUUAUUAUCUUGCACAUGUUUCUCUCUUUUUUCACAUAAUUUGUACAAGCGAACACUUUUCUUGCAUGUGAAAAUGGUCGUACUGCUUAUGUGAGAUAAGACUCUUUGCGGCUAGAUUAGGUAAAACAAUUCAUCAACUACUGUAUGCCUGCCUUACAAUCCCCAACCCCUAUAAAACACUUUGUUUCUAGUAACAUGGUGAAACUUAAUAAUGAAAUUAGCUGAGUUAGUUUACUGAGCUAAAAUGACUAUUAUUAGCUACAAAUGUGAUACUGGAUAAAUCCGAACAAGAACCCUGCUUUUACUUCAAUCCAAAGGAUCAACCCCGAAUAUAAAGCUAAAGUUGAUGUUGUUAAACUUGGUAAUGAAUUCAUGGUAUUGUGAGCUGAUGCUAUAUUAGCAGAAUCUUAUUAGUCUCUACAACUACAAAAAAGGUCAAAAUUAUUAGUCACGCAGCAAGAUUAAUUAUCACAUUUCUUCAACUUUCUAUGUUGCUCCUCCUUUCAAUUUUUCUGCCCUAUUAACCUAUUUAAUUUCUUUGUUGUAGAUUGCAAUAUUCGAUGACGCAUGGCUCAGAUGUUGGUUGCAAGGUCAAGAAUAGGGGUGCUACUAGAUAGUUUCACAUUAUGCCUUAGAAUGCCAUUUCCAGUGCCAAUGUUUCAAUCAUUAUGUUUCGGAUAUUUUUGGUGUCAAUAUUUCGAUCAUUAUGUUUCAGAAUGGCUGACACGUUGGCUGCAAGGUCAAGAAUGAGAUUACUACUAGUUUCACAUCUUGUAAUUUUUGUAUGGUGUACUUUGUAAUGCAACCAAGUUGAUUUAAUAUAUGAGAAAUUUCCGUUUAUUAUACUGUGUCCCUUGUGUAAUACCGAUAUUGUCUAAUUCUAGACGCUGAUGUAUAAAUAUCAUGUAUUUUUUAUGGAAUGCACUAGUAUUGUAGUACUCAUUUAUAAUCAUGUUCUGUUGGGUAGCCACCAACGCAUGUGAACCGUUGUUGGGCUCUAACUCUAUACGUUGCUAUCUUACAACACUUAUUCAGGCCGUUUACCAACGGAUGC